UACGGGGGGGGCAAGCGUUGUUCGGAGUUACUGGGCGGAAAGGGCUCGUAGGCGGCCAACUAAGUCAUACGUGAAAUCCCUCGGCUUAACCGGGGAACUGCGUCUGAUACUGGAUGGCUUGAGUUCGGGAGAGGGAUGCGGAAUUCCAGGUGUAGCGGUGAAAUGCGUAGAUAUCUGGAGGAACACCGGUGGCGAAGGCGGCAUCCUGGACCGAUACUGACGCUGAGGGGCGAAAGCCAGGGGAGCAAACGGG
rnacentral:rRNA from 1 species